AGGAGGUGGCAGCAGCUUCUGUGCAUCGGUGGUGCCUCGUCCCCGCGCUCGCCGGCUGAAGCGCGGUGCUCUGCUCCCCGGGGUCGGAGGUGCCACCGCUGCCGUCCCCGGCCGCACGCCGGAGCCGCGCUCUCCUUCGUGGAUUCGCCGUGCAACUAUCGGGAAAAGUGGCUGUGCGCGGGCAGCGACUUAGCGCAAGGCAUUUAUCAGCCAGUCGGAGACCUUCAAAAGGCAAGGUAAUUCUCUAAUGGACCAAUGAAAGCCAACGAUGACAAGUUGUGGUCAACAGUCCUUGAAUGUGCUGAUGGUUCUGCUCUCAUUACUCUUGUCAGCAGUGUUGUCCGCGCAUUUCCGGGUCUGCGAGCCGUACACGGACUACAAAGGUCGCUACCACUUUGGUUUCCACUGCCCCCGUCUUUCCGACAAUAAAUCUUACAUCUUUUGCUGUCACCAUAACAACACAGUGUUUAAAUAUUGCUGCAAUGAGACAGAAUUUCAGACUGUCAUGCAGAUGAACUUAACAGGGAAUGCAGAUGGAUAUAUGCAUAACAACUACAGCGCACUGUUGGGGGUGUGGAUCUAUGGCUUUUUUGUGGUGAUCUUACUGAUACUGGACCUUUUAUAUUACUCUUCAAUGAACUAUGAUAUUUGCAAAUUCUACCUGGCCCGCUGGGGAAUCCAGGGGAAGUGGAUGACACAGGGACAGAGCCGAUGGAUUAACCCUGCUCAGGACCCAAGACAGACACAGCCUCAGCCAGAGACACAGGCUCAAACUCAGCCUCAGCCUCGGACAUCACAGACAGUACACACUUUAAAAGGAGAUGCUUUAAGCCCACCCCUGGUGUCUUUUCAGAGUACAUCUGCCUGAACUGGGAAGGAAGAAGAAGAUAAAACAAGAGAAGAGUCUCUGAAGUAAGAUGCCAUUGCUUUCGCCUUGGAAAAUGAACUCCCAGUGUAUAUUUUGGAUGUUGAAGAACAAGUAACUCCCUAAAGUCGAGGAGGAACGAGCAGAAAAUUAUAUUGAUGUGCCUCAAGAUGGGAGAGGUAAGACCAGACUUCAAGGAGCAGCUUUCAAGAAAAUCAACGAAAUUACAAGAGCUGAAAAAAUUAUGGAUAAGCAGGAGAGAGAAGGACUAUGAGAGGAAGACUGAGCAAGUCACUUGAAGACGGACACCAUUCAAACAACUUCUACAGGCAAAUGAUAUAGAAAGAGUCUCCAGGAGAAAGUAGUCUGUAAGCAAUAUUUUAAUUCUAGACUGACACUAUUAUCUCUGAAAGGAAGCAUCAUGUUUGUGAAAAUGCUCAAUAGGAAGAAAAUUAAGUUGCUCUGGCAAAUCCACACAAAGCUGAAAAAUGACCACAAGACAAACCUUUGGUAGAUAACUUUUCUUUGCCUCCCCAUCCAUCAAUUGCCAUUUGAGCCUAAUCUCAGCCUAAGUGUCAGAAUCCUGAAUGUGAGUUUUCCCAAAGUUCUCUGGUGAACAUUUUGUCACAGCAGGGUAGAUGCUGGCAAUCCAUAUCCCUGUUAACCAUACUGUCCUAUGCAUUGCAAAGGUCAGCAGAGCCCUUUCAGUGAGUCAGACUGCAGGGUAGCAAUCACUUCAACCAUAAUGCACAUUUUUAGAUCACUGGCAAUGAUUCUGCUAAGACAUCCGAGUCCAUCUUAAAUUCAGGUUCUUGAAGAACUUUAUUAGGAUGCAACACCAUCCCACCCCCAUACUCUUUGAAGCUGAAAGAGAAACAGGAAAAAAAAAACAGAACAAAAAACAAACUGUAUUUCAAAAGCAAUAAUGCCACUGUCCCCUUGCCAAUGACUGGCUGCAGAGUUUACCCCAUACAAGUCUCAGAAUCCAUUUGUAAGCCAGAAAGGCAAUGACUGCCACACCAGUAUGUGGAGCACUUGAUCACUGGGUUGCAAUAGGUUGAUGUAACUUUCCACAGGAUGGGGUUGUUUUAAAAUCAUACAGUAUCAACCACGUAGACAAAUCCUGUGAAAUUUGGUUAUUUAAGAUAUUUGCAUGGAGAACCUGGCAAUGACAGCCAGACAGAGGAGUUCAUCUGGAAAUCAUAACACAAGGCCAUGAUAAUGCCAAUUUAAUCCUUCAUGUCUAAUAUUUUGUCCUGCAAAUCUCAGUAACUUUAAAAUAACCAUACAUUUUACCCCAUAACCACAACAUGAGGAACACCUCGUUAAUGAAUAAUAAAAUGUUCCCUUUUUAGCUCUUCGGCUGAAUGAAUUUUAGUCUUCUGUUGAACUCAAAGGGGACACUCUUCUCAGUGAUUUGAGUUAGCUCACAGCUACUGGAGUUCAGGAUGGUAUGUAACUAAAACUAUAAAGGAAUAAAUAGUGUUGGAGGACCCAAUGAGGCUGAAAACCACAGGAGUGGAAGCCCAGUCUUCAAAUAAAUCUCAAUAUGAGCAGCAUACCAACAUGCACGUCCCCCUUUUCUCUGUAAACGAACAACUAAACGUGCUGGGUAACACUGAGUAAGGGCAGGCAGUGCCUAAAAGAACGAACUCACAGGCAGGAGUGCCGCCCUGCAGGCAUUAAAUUCCAUCCUGAAAGCUUGAACCUGGCCCACUCUCACUCAUCACAGAAGCUCCUGCACACCCUGCCAGCCUGUAGGGAGCUGCCGCAGUGCAGCUGGGGUGUUACACCUGUGUCACACCUUAAGAACUCUCCAAGAAAAGCAAAGGAAACCGAGUAGCUGGAGGUGAUGACACCCAUGCCAGCAUCUUGCCUCCUCCACACUUCCUCGUUGGCUCCAAGAUCUAUAACACCUGCAGACACCCCAAAAAAGUAUCCACAGUCACCAGUGUGGCGCUGUGCAGUAACUGCUUGGUCCUUUUACCUUCUCCCAGCACCUGCUUUCAUUGUGAGGUGAUGACUGCCACAGAGAGCUUUGGAAAAAGCUUAUGUUCAUAAAGGAAUUUGUAUUAGAUACUGGUUUGUGUGACUUACUGUAUUUUGUAAGGGUUUUUUUCCCUUUGGGAAUUGUGCGUUAUUAAUGAGCAGUUUUAUGCUUUACUUCUAGUACACGUAUACCUUGUAAUGGAUGUGCUUUUUGUUUGUUUGUUUUCUUUUAUUCUCUAUACAGAGCCAGUUAAUAUAAGGUAGAUACUCUCUGGCUGAAAUUCUGAAUUUGCCUACCAAUUAAUUUAUGGAUAAAUCCAUGUCGUAGCUGGUGAGGAAUUUUUCAUCACUUGUGUUGUUAUAAUCACCUGAUAGUCUCUCUACUUGGGCAGAAUAAAAGAUCCUGAAUAAGACUAAUUCUAGCUGGGCCUUAAAUUUAAGGGAAAUAGUGUACUACAUAUUUCCCUACAACCAUUUCUAUCAGCCCUUCUUCCUUGGUGUUGGGACACUGGAGAAGAGCACUGGCUACACAAACAGCCACCUGAACAUCUCAGCCACCUCUGUAGCUCUGCUCUGAUAUCCCCCUGCAUUUACUUGAUCAAAAUUACGAUGGCCCAGAUAAACUGCAAUGAGUUUUUCAGUUUUUUCUGCAGAGAGACUGGUUCAAAUGCAAUCCUUCUCUAAAAAGAAAUGAUCUGGACUAAAAUAAUUGUAUUUUCCUCUAUGUCCAUCCUGAUAUGUUUGGAAAAAUAAGGGAUCUGAAAUAAACACUCACAAGAGUGAAUACUUUAUACCCCCUAUGUGACAAUGGCAGCUAUCUCAGUGGCUAUUAGUGACCUUCCUGCUCCAGAAGCCUCUUCCUCUGUCCAAAUAAUUUCCUCUCUUCUGUUUCACUGAGAACCGUGUCCAACUCCUUAGUAAUUGCUGUGUAUAACGUAGGACAUCAAAAGAUAAGUUGUAAAGUUUGUGCAGGACUUGGUGUUGUAGUUUAACCAUCUUUCGUGCCUGGUUAUGGAUUUUACAAAAAACAGAGUGAAAAUAAUCUGGCCUCUUAAUGUAUAAUUCAGCAUAUUGUAGCAGCUAUUUUAGACACCUGUUUUUUAUAGUUUUACUACAGCUGUGAUUUCUGUAUGAGGACUGUCUGCUCAAGAAGCGGUGAAGUCAACACGUCAAAAUGAUUUUCUAAAGUCAGUUCUGUUCUGCCGCCUGUGAUUGUGUAUGGAGAGUAAAGCAACAAAAACAAAACCUCAGCCCCUGGCUGGGAGGAAACACCUUUUCUCAGCCUCAGAAUUUCCCUUCUGUAAGACAGGCAUUUCUUCUAGUCCUCCUUUUACAAAAGUAGUAAAUUACUAAGAAGAUCAUAUAUAUACAGUACAAUAGUCUAUUUUGAUAGUCAGCAGACUAUUUUAGGCUAAUUAAGCUAACUAGAAAUUCUAGGGUUGCAGUGAUUUCUCUUUAUUGAUACAUCAAUGAUAAUACUGUUUACAUAACACUUGAUGUUUGAAAUCAAUACGUGCCAGUGUCCAGUGAUUUGCUAAUCUAGUUUCUGGUCUAAUCCUGUCCUAUUUUUUGCAGCAUUCUCUGACUUCAUAUUAUGAAUCAUGUCGUCUUUCUACGGUGAUUGCCAAGUAAACCAAAAAUGUGUUUUACACUGCUAUUGCACUGCUCUCGUCUUUAUAUACAGUAGUUUUUAUAAAGAUGUCCUUAGGUUUUAAUAAAUGAGUGUAACGCAAACCAAUCUCUGUAAUAAAACUUGCUUUGGUGUUCCAAA